UGAAAGUCGAUAAUCGAACGUUGCACAUC
rnacentral:sRNA from 1 species